AAAUUGAAGAGUUUGAUCAUGGCUCAGAUUGAACGCUGGCGGCAGGCCUAACACAUGCAAGUCGAGCGGUAGCACAGAAGAGCUUGCUCUUCGGGUGACGAGCGGCGGACGGGUGAGUAAUGUCUGGGAAACUGCCUGAUGGAGGGGGAUAACUACUGGAAACGGUAGCUAAUACCGCAUAACGUCUUCGGACCAAAGAGGGGGACCUUCGGGCCUCUUGCCAUCGGAUGUGCCCAGAUGGGAUUAGCUAGUAGGUGAGGUAAUGGCUCACCUAGGCGACGAUCCCUAGCUGGUCUGAGAGGAUGACCAGCCACACUGGAACUGAGACACGGUCCAGACUCCUACGGGAGGCAGCAGUGGGGAAUAUUGCACAAUGGGCGCAAGCCUGAUGCAGCCAUGCCGCGUGUGUGAAGAAGGCCUUCGGGUUGUAAAGCACUUUCAGCGGGGAGGAAGGCGAUAAGGUUAAUAACCUUGUCGAUUGACGUUACCCGCAGAAGAAGCACCGGCUAACUCCGUGCCAGCAGCCGCGGUAAUACGGAGGGUGCAAGCGUUAAUCGGAAUGACUGGGCGUAAAGCGCACGCAGGCGGUCUGUUAAGUUGGAUGUGAAAUCCCCGGGCUUAACCUGGGAACUGCAUUCAAAACUGACAGGCUAGAGUCUUGUAGAGGGGGGUAGAAUUCCAGGUGUAGCGGUGAAAUGCGUAGAGAUCUGGAGGAAUACCGGUGGCGAAGGCGGCCCCCUGGACAAAGACUGACGCUCAGGUGCGAAAGCGUGGGGAGCAAACAGGAUUAGAUACCCUGGUAGUCCACGCUGUAAACGAUGUCGACUUGGAGGUUGUGCCCUUGAGGCGUGGCUUCCGGAGCUAACGCGUUAAGUCGACCGCCUGGGGAGUACGGCCGCAAGGUUAAAACUCAAAUGAAUUGACGGGGGCCCGCACAAGCGGUGGAGCAUGUGGUUUAAUUCGAUGCAACGCGAAGAACCUUACCUACUCUUGACAUCCAGAGAAUUUGCUAGAGAUAGCUUAGUGCCUUCGGGAACUCUGAGACAGGUGCUGCAUGGCUGUCGUCAGCUCGUGUUGUGAAAUGUUGGGUUAAGUCCCGCAACGAGCGCAACCCUUAUCCUUUGUUGCCAGCACGUAAUGGUGGGAACUCAAAGGAGACUGCCGGUGAUAAACCGGAGGAAGGUGGGGAUGACGUCAAGUCAUCAUGGCCCUUACGAGUAGGGCUACACACGUGCUACAAUGGCGUAUACAAAGAGAAGCGACCUCGCGAGAGCAAGCGGACCUCAUAAAGUACGUCGUAGUCCGGAUUGGAGUCUGCAACUCGACUCCAUGAAGUCGGAAUCGCUAGUAAUCGUAGAUCAGAAUGCUACGGUGAAUACGUUCCCGGGCCUUGUACACACCGCCCGUCACACCAUGGGAGUGGGUUGCAAAAGAAGUAGGUAGCUUAACCUUCGGGAGGGCGCUUACCACUUUGUGAUUCAUGACUGGGGUGAAGUCGUAACAAGGUAACCGUAGGGGAACCUGCGGUUGGAUCACCUCCUUA
rnacentral:rRNA from 1 species